UGGGGAAUAUUGGACAAUGGGCGCAUGCCUGAUCCAGCCAUGCCGCGUGAGUGAUGAAGGCCCUAGGGUUGUAAAGCUCUUUCACCGGUGAAGAUAAUGACGGUAACCGGAGAAGAAGCCCCGGCUAACUUCGUGCCAGCAGCCGCGGUAAUACGAAGGGGGCUAGCGUUGUUCGGAUUUACUGGGCGUAAAGCGCACGUAGGCGGACUUUUAAGUCAGGGGUGAAAUCCCGGGGCUCAACCCCGGAACUGCCUUUGAUACUGGAAGUCUUGAGUAUGGUAGAGGUGAGUGGAAUUCCGAGUGUAGAGGUGAAAUUCGUAGAUAUUCGGAGGAACACCAGUGGCGAAGGCGGCUCACUGGACCAUUACUGACGCUGAGGUGCGAAAGCGUGGGGAGCAAACAGG
rnacentral:rRNA from 1 species